UGCGCUCCAGCCUGUAAUGCGGCGGUCUGUUUGGAGAAGAGCACAUGCUCCACCAAGCCCCGGAAAUGCACUCUCAAGCGCCAAGUUGCCGUUGCCAUGGCAGCAGGAACACGUUGCUGUGGAAAAGACCCGGAGCCUACCGUGGUAAGAGCUGCAGCCCAGAGGUGUCAGGAGAAUCUACACAUUUUGUAGCCUGCUGUAGUGCUCCCCGGGCUUUCAGCCGUAGAAGAGGAAAAAGUAGUAGAUUUUUUUGUUUACAGCACAAGUUUACAUAACUAUAAAUCCCCCCCCCCCCUUUUUUUGUUUCUUUUUUUUUUGUUACAAAAUUUUAAAAUACUGCCAAAUUUUGUGGGAAUGGACAUAUGGAAACAACAUACAACUGCAUGAUAUUUUAUGUUUCUGACAUGGUAACUUAUGUUGUGCAUGUAAAAUUGUCUGUUUUCUUAUUUACAGUAUUUUAAAGGUUGGCUUUUAUUGCAUUUCAA